GGACCCGUGGCUCAGUGGUUAGAGCGUUCGGUUCACAUCCGAAAGGUCGGUGGUUCGAAUCCACCCGGGUCCA
rnacentral:tRNA from 1 species